GCUUGCACUCCUGAUGGUUAGCGGCGGACGGGUGAGUAACACGUAGGCAACCUGCCCCACAGACUGGGAUAACUACCGGAAACGGUAGCUAAUACCGGAUAAUUCCUUUUAGCUCCUGCUGAAAGGAUGAAAGACGGAGCAAUCUGUCACUGCGGGAUGGGCCUGCGGCGCAUUAGCUAGUUGGUGAGGUAACGGCUCACCAAGGCGACGAUGCGUAGCCGACCUGAGAGGG
rnacentral:rRNA from 1 species